UAAUUGUUUGUACAUUUUUUACCAAUAAUUAAACAAAUUUUAAACAUGAACUCAAUACUCACAAACAACAUUUAUAAAAGAUGAAAAUCAAGGAAAUGUGGUCCACACUGAACUAAAACUAGUGAAAAUUUAAUACAAUAGAAAUAUAUGAAAUUGUAAUAGAAGAUGAGUUCUCUUAAUUUAUUGCUGUAUUUGUUAAUUUUAUCUAUAAAUAGUUCUUUCGGCGUUGAAGAAAAAUGCCCAGCUAAGUGUAUAUGCAAGAAAAAUCUUCCCAACGAAGGUUUAAAGAUGUCUUGUGGAGAAGGAGAAAAAGUGUAUCAUUUAGAUGAAUUGGAAUUGUUAAAUUUAGCUAGCGAGGUUGUUCAACUGAAUUUGUCCGGAAAUGGGCUAGCAUCUUUUCAGCCAAAGGUUGAACUUCCUGAUCUUCAAAAACUAGAUCUAAGUAAAAAUCAAUUAACAGAGCUUAAGGCUCAUCAAUUUGUCGAGGUUCCAAAUUUAAGAAGACUGGAUUUAUCUAUUAAUAUUAUCAGGCAUAUCGAUUUGUUGGCCUUUGAAAAAUUAAGGCAUUUGGAAAGACUUAAACUGAAUCAAAAUCAGAUCACAGCUAUUACAAUUGGUACAUUUGCACCACUUGAAAAAAUUAAACAACUAGACAUAUCAAGUAAUCCAUUAGUUUGCGACUGCAGCCUGCUCUGGUUGCACGAUUGGGUACAAAGACAAUCCCUAAAGCUAUCAUCGAAUCCAAAAUGCAUGUCUCCAUCCACAUUUAAAGGAAGACCAUUGAAAAAGCUUAUAAUUGGAGAUGACAUCCAUUGUAAAUCUCCUGCUGGCAGUAGUGGGUUGCCAUUUAUUGAACUGAAACCUGAGGAAAAUCAGGUUGUAUUUGAGGGAGACUCCCUUACAAUGCAGUGCUAUGUGCCAAGUAUUUCUGAUUCGUUAGAGAAUCCUCUUCAGAGUGAUAUUCAUUGGACCUGGCUGGAUUUCGAUCCCAAAGAUCAUUUCUCUGAUAUAAGGAUCGAAAACGAGUUAUUAGGUAGUGCAGGGAGGAUAUCUAGCACUCUUAUAGUUCCUAGAUUAGCUAAAAACCAUACGGGUAUUUGGAAUUGUCAGUUUUUAUCCUUGCAUGGGAAUCACUCAAAAGGAAUUUCGGUGGUCGUUAUAUCAGAUAAAACAAAAUACUGCCCCAUGACGGUAACGAGAAACAACAAAGGCAGCUACAACUGGCCACGAGCUAUCAUAAAUUUCACCAUAACGAUGCCCUGCGAAUCGUUGAAUCUGAACUACGACGUCACCCAUCAAAAAGCUUCCUACACGUGCACAGAAAACGGGCAAUGGUCGAAUCUUAACACGUCGAUGUGCUCGUACAUCUCCGACACCACCAAAAUCCUCGAACAGUUCUCGAUGGUGGAUACCAGCAUAGAGGAAAGUGCCAAACACUUCAGAAACUACACUCUGAACAAAAGUAUAUUCAACGAUGUAGUCGACUUGUCAUACGCAGUUACUACUAUUGAGAAUUACGUGAAGUAUGCUCCUAAAGAACACGUUGGAACUAUAGCGGCUAUUUUAAUGGACGCGACGAACAAUCUGAUGGAUCUGCCGAGGAGUUACUUGAGAGAGACCGAUUUGGAGUUUGGUACUUCAGGAAGAUUGUUGAAAGCUACUGAGAGGAUCGCCGUUUUCUUGAAUCCUACCAAUUUUCACAAGAACAAUUUGGCUAUAGAAAUAUUUCCCGUCCAAAAAGAAGGCUUCCGAGGUCUUACUUGCACCUUAUACACAAAUCCGAACAACAGGAAAGAUUCUUUGUUCUCGUGCGCUUCGAGCAAUCGACAAGAAACGUCGAGUUACCAAGGGAAGACCACCGACGCGUCAGUAGCCAUACCGGAAAGUCUUUUUAAACAAUUGCAGAAGAAGGAGAACUUGACGAACAAGGAAUAUGACCUACUGGUCGCGAUCCACUACAGUAGCAAGCUGUUUUCGAUGGACCAGAAGAGAUAUGGGAAGGAAGAUGUGACCUCCGCUGUCGUAGGUGUACAACUAGUUGAUUUCGUCGUGAGGAAUCUAACAGAUCCAGUUUACGUGAUGUUGCGCACUCCAUCCACAACCAUCUACGACGUGACCCCCUUCAUGCCAGUUUGGUGGGACGCCACUGCUAACAACGGAACAGGAAACUGGAGUACCGACGGUUGUAAGUUUUCCCACGACAUCCAGGAGUAUCUGGUCUUCUCGUGCGACAGCUUCGGCUACUACGGCCUUCUCCAAGACGUCACCAUGCUAGAGGAACAUGUAAGUGCCAAAUUCAAGCUGAGUCAUCCAGCGGUAUACGUAGGUGUUUUUGUAUUGUUUACUUCGUUUUUGAUAGUUAUUUUGACGUAUCUUCUUUGCUACGUUACUAUACAAAUACCUAAGAAGACGAAGCAUUCGUUGAUUAACACGUGGAUAUCUAUAUCUUUACUAACUUUUCUGUACAUAUUCGGUAUUUAUCAAACCGAGGACACCAAAGUUUGUCAAAUUGUUGGCAUGAUCUUACAUUAUUUCACUCUAUGUUCGUUGCUUUGGAUGUGUGUUGGGGUAAACUGUAUGUACAAGAGACUAAGCAAGAACGACAUUAUAGGUCUGCAAGAUGACGACUUACCGUCAGACUAUCCAAUACAGAAACCUAUCUUAGGUUUGUAUCUUGUAGGUUGGGGCAUAGGUCUGAUCAUUUGCGGACUGUCAGCUGCUAUAAACAUGAACGAGUACGCUUCCUCUAGUUAUUGCUUCCUCAAAUCAGGCCCAGCUCUAAGCGCUCUUUAUGUUCCGUGUAUCAUCUUCACUGUCUUCCUGAUUAUAUUCUUCCUGUUGAUACGAUGUGCUAUUUACAAUUUAGACGCCAAUGGUCACUUAAGUGAAGGUACACAAGCUACAGAACACGUCGAUCUGGAUUUACUGGAGCCCGAACCGAAUUUUCCUCACGUCGAAACUAGAAGUAUAUCCACCAAGACUGGUUCCAGCGAAAUAGAAGACCCAGAGCAUGCUCCAUCUGCGCAACUAAAAGCCUACAUCAUAUUUUUGAUUAUAUACGUCAUGACGUGGUUGAGCUGUGCAUUUGCCACAGAAUCACCCUUCCACAUAUUUUCUUUCGAGGAAGAUCUAUUCAGUAUAGCGUUCGCUAUAUUAGCAACGACCCUCAGCGCAUUUACACUCUUCUUUUAUUGUGUCGCAAGAAACGAUGUUCGGACUCAGUGGGUUAUAAUGUCUAGAUGGAUGAAACGUAAGCGUAUGUGCAAGGUUAGGUCAAGAAACGUAUCAGACACUGCUCUGACUAUUCCUCAGAUCCAAAUACAACCGUUACCUUUGCCUCCUGUCAGUAAUCUAGAGGCUCAGAUCAUCUCUAGGUCUACGAGCCGGACUUCCAGCCACUCAAAAACUAACUCUAGGAAUAGUAACAUACUCAAAGGAGCAGUGGACCUUAACGAAAGCUUCAGCGACCAUCAAGGAGCUAAGAUUAACAACGUUAAUCUAGUAGUGUUACAUCGAGCGCAGUAUAGGAACAGUAUUAUUCCUAAUAUUAUUGAAAAUCCCACCAACGCUGAUGUUUUCUACAACCCCCACCAGAGUACAGUAGCUAGGAAGUUCUUUAAACGACAGAGGAGGAACAUGAUGAAGAAGAAUAAUUUGGCCAAACCUCCUAGGGACAUAAACAGCGAUACUGCUUCGGUAUUCUCAGAACCGAAGCUCAAAAUAAAAAAUAACAGCGAGCAAAACAUUUUCGGGACCAAUUCAAAGGUAAAUAACACGAAUAUACACGUUGAACAUAAGCACCGGAUACAGCAAAAGAAUCCUAACAUAUUCUCCGACAGCGCUGAUGAUUUUGACUCAGAAAGUAAUAUUCCCGUAGAAAAUAUCGUCAUACAUGCUGAAAGACUUAGAAAAAAAGAGCUAUCUAGGAAUAGAAGCAGAAAGAAACAUAACACUACGGAAAAUAACAUGCAUUCCAUGUCUCAACAGUGUACUUUAGAUUAUAGCUCAGAAACUAUCUCAGAUUCUAUAUUAGACAAGACUAGUCCCGACAAAACACUACUGCCAAAUCAAGAGAGUUUUAAUACAACGGAAACGAGUGAGCCAGUUGAGUCUCUUCGGAGAGAAAACAGCCCGCUUAGUAUCCUAACGGAAAACGAUCCAAACUAUUGCCAAAUCGUAGACUUACCACCCAGAGACGAAUAUUUCCAAAAAUCCGGCACCGUUGGUCAGUCUGCUAGUUGUAACUUUAGUGGUCUCGAUACUUCGUCGGUAGGUGGCGCUUCCACACCUAGAAUCUAUGUGAAUCCCCAAGACUUGAGAUUAGGCAAAGGAGAUGGCCAAAGCAGGGCCAGUAGCGUCUCUGUUAGUGACUUGGACGAGUUGUAUCAACAGAUCAGGAGAGGUCCACAGUCGAAGAGGUAUAGGCAAGUGUAUACGCCCUCUAGGGAUAGUCCGUGUUUGUCGGAUUCAGAAAUUAACUCGUUUAUUAAUGACAGUAGGCAUAGAAGGAUAGAUCUGAGGAGUAGGGAUGAGUUCGAUAGGUUGAGUGAUGAUAUAGAGACUAGAGUUUAAAGUGACAGUAUUGAUUUGGCGUUAAUAGUCUUGAAUGACUCGUGACUGCCGGUUGGUCCGUACUUUUUCUUGAUUUGCUCUCCUGUAACGUGAAAAAUAGCUUUAAAGGCCAUUAUAGUAGCUCAUACUGCGAAUUUAAUAUCUGAACAGCUAAACUAAAAGUCGAACAAUUAGGCAUGCACUUCAUAGAUUUAAUGACAUCAUAACCCACCGGUACAAACUUGACGGCAAAAAAAAUCAACAAAUUUUUCCUCAUAUAUUAGUUUUUUUUUACUACCGUUAAGUUCAGCAGGAAAAUAUAAAUAUGUAAAAUUUUUGUUUGUUUAUUUUUUUUAUUGCCUUUGGGAGCUGUGCCCAUUUAGCCAGCAACAUUUCUUAAAAUUAACGCCUAACUAAACCUACCAUUCAACAAAACUAUUAUGAACCUAAUCUAUCAAUCAAGGAUAGGGAAGGGACGGUCAAGUUGGUUAAAAAAUAAACUGUCGUUAAAAUAUAAACUAAAUAAAUAAAAUAUAAUUUGAAAACAAUAAUUUGACAUUAUAUUUAACCUCCAAUAUCAUGACAGACGUCAGUUACUAUGCUUUUUCUCAUGUGGAUCUUUCAGUGCGUCACAGUUUUUCGAUUGCUUUCUAACGCGUUAAAUUGCAUGUGACAGAAAAAAACGCACGUCCGUGAUUACAUUUCGUCGGUGACAUUUAUAACAUUUAUUCUAGUUGUCAAUAGAUGGCGCUAUAAUCGAAAUAAAAAUUAUUUUCGAAUUAUAUAAUAUAUCUACGAAUAUAAUCAGUACAAUUUAUAAGACUAUACAAAUCAAAGAAAAUACCAUUUUAUAAAUGCAAUAAACAGAAUUGAUUUGUUUUCAUGCCAAAUUGCAAAUAAAAUUUGACAACUGUCAGAUUUAACUAAAAUGUCAUGUCACUAAAAUGUAUAUUAUCACGGACUCACCUUUUUUUCUAUCAUUUGUGACGCACUGAAAAAUGCUAAUGAAAAGAAGCAUAUUUACAAUGUCACCAAAUAUAAUAAUGACGUCAUAUAAAUUCGUCACUAAUUCUAGCCAAUGAAAUGCUCGCUGUAAUAGGAAUGGCAUGUCAAAAAAAUCUGAUCAUUCCCUAUAUAUUUUUUCAAAUUUAGAAUAUGGCAACAAAGGGAAAAUUACGUGCAUUCCUUAUUGUUUGACUUUUCCUAUAUUUAACGGAUUUCUUUGUAAUAAAGAUGAAGUGCUACUAUUUUUCAUUAGUCAUGAAAAGACAAAAAAAAAACAUGUUUGGCCUUUUAGAUAAUACAGUUGUCUUUAUUACAUUCGUAGCAUGAGGUGCUAAAGCUCUCUUCUUGCCCAAAAAAUGCUCAAUAGUUUUCGGAACAACUAGGUGUCAUGGUUUACAGACAGUAUUGGUGAAGCUAUAGCUUAAUAUGUAUAUUUUUGGAGUUAUUUAAAGAUAUAUUGCGGAUAGUGAAUUUGAUUGGUAGUUUUUGAGAUUGCGUGCAAUGAUUUUUAAUAGACAUACAAGCUCAAUGAGUGAUUAGCCAUUGUAGGGCGAUUUAGAGUGAAGGAAAUACGUAAAAAUAUACACGAAAUAUUUGUAAAUGGGCCAUUCUACGGAAAUUUUGCCUUGGAAGCAAUGUGCGCUGUUUUUUAUCAAUUAUAUCUUACUGACGUGCCCAAUUAGAGAUAUAGUUUCUAUUUUAAGUCACGCCAGUCAAGUAAUGGGUUUUUAAUAAUCAAUUCUAAAUCGUACUUUUUUUGAUUCGUCAUGUGCAAGAUAAAUAUGUUCAGGUGUGACUAAAAUAUUAACAAAUUUUUAUUUUCAAUACCUUUUUUAUUUAUGAAGGAAUGGGAAAAGAAGUUCCUCUUCAGAUGGUGGGUUCUUAACCUUACCAGGAUCAAAUAUUUUAAUGUGUUUUUUGUAAAGUCCCAAUGUGUUGUUCUAGAUGUUUUUUAAAUUUUACAUGUGUUUUACAUAAUAUCAGUCUUUUCAAUUUUUUAGGUAUGACGUAUGACCCAAUUUUGAUGAUUUACAUUUUAAAGCGGCCAUCUUUUGUGCACCCUAGUGUAUUUAUUGUUGGUAUUAACUGGUUCAGCACAAGGUUAAGCUGUACAUGUAAGAGUCUCACUGGAAUGGCCUAGAUGUUUUUUUUUAUUUACAGUGAGGUUGAUCUUUGUGUCUUAUAGUAGUUGGCUUGUGGAUUUGUAGUUUGAGCAGCUUUUUUUUAUACAAAAACUGCAGCGGGACUCUGUGCAAUGUAGUAUACUACGUGUAGAAAAGUUUCUAUCGCUUUGGCGUGCUUCGGCACUCCGUGCAUCGAUAUUGUCACGUGAAUGCGAUUAUUUUGGUCGUUUCGUUUCUAUGUAGAAUACUACAAUAGAAUACUAUGUUGCACGUAGUCCAAUUCCUGGAAAUAUAUAUGAAUCAUCAUAGUAAAAUAGUACAAAUAACAGUUUAUAUGUUUUUCUGAAUCGAAGAAUUCUAUUGAUAUUAUAAAACGGUCCUAGUCUAAUAAUUCUCUUUAGAAUAUAAUAGACUUUUAUAUAAGAACACUAAGUAAAGACAGUGCUGAAAAUAUAGAGAGAAAUAAUUUUUUUUGGCUUAACGGCAUAGGCGCAAAAUGUCGCCUGUCAAAUGUUUAAUGUAUUUUAAAUGAAUUAAUUUUUUUCGAAUUCUGAGGAAACUAAUAAGUAUUUUUGAAAAAUUUAAACGCAGAAUGAAAGAUUGCGUUAUUUCCGAGGGCCGAAAGUCGCUAAGAAUAACCAAAAUAGUUAUUUAUGAAACAGUUCGUGAAGUAUGCUUUUUGCGAACGCACGCGAUGUUUAGAGCACGAGCGACAGCGGAGCGAGUGCUAUACAUCGCGUAAGUUCGCAAAAAGUACUUCACGCACAGUUUCAUACAAUAUUUUAUCUACGAUAAACAAAUAAAAAAGCUGUAACUAUUCGUCACUGCAAUUCAUUUCUAUUCUACAAUUUUUAGAAUUUUGGCAUUUAAAAAUUCUAACUUCUUUCAAACUACCAAACUGUCAAAACUUUUGUUGUAAUUUAUUGCUCAUUAUGUCAUCACCAUGACAACGCGAAAGUUAAGGAUAUUUGAUUAUAUGAAAGUGUGCCAAAAAACAGUGCGAAAAAGUAAAUCCUAUUUAAAAUACAUUGUUACUUCACGCACACUUUAAACCCUUCACGCACUGCUAUCUAUAAUGACAGUUUUCACAAACCAAAAACUUACACAUAAUAAUAAUAUGACAUAGAGUAGAUAAAGUUUCUUUUGAAUGAGAUAUUUGAAAUUAAAAGUCACACUUCCCUUUUUUUCACCCUUGUAACUUAAAUGUAUACAAUAUUAAAAUAAAUAUUACAGUUUUCAGGGACUUUCGGCCCUCGGUAAUAACGUAAUAUUUCAUUUUGCGUUUAAAUGUUUCAAAAAUACUUAUUAGUUUUCUCAGGAUUCGAAAAAAAUAAGUAAGUACGUUUAAAACACGUUGAAUAUUUUGACAGGCGAUAUUUUGCGCCUAUGUCCUUAAUAUAUGAACGGAUCUGUGAAAAAAGACUGCAUAGAUGCAUUCUGAUUUGUACAGAAAAAGUUGUGUGAUAGCUUCAAUAAUAAUAAUUAUUGGCUCAUGCUAAUACAUCUCAAAUAGGUCAAGAAUAUUAAUAAAAAAAUAAAAUAUUUAAAAAUUUGCUAUAAAUUUUAAUAGUUUUAACAGUUCUUUGUUUGUCGUUUAUUACGUCCUGUUCGUUUUAUUUGUUUUUUCACUGUUUCACUGUUUGUGUCUUUUAUGUAAUACGUAUACAAUUCUUGUCUAUUAUUAAAUUGUCUUAAAAAAAUGUAAAAUAAAUUCGUUUAUUUUGAAGAAGAAUAGAAGCAAAGAUAUGCCACAUUAAAAAAUUACUUCUCUUGUUUUUUUUGAGCACUCUACUAAAUGUUUACUUAAAAAAUAUCCAACCAUUUUAUAAAAAUACACACUUCUUUUGUUUGAUGUGAAGGUAAAUUUUAAAUAAUGUCGAUUUAUAGUUGAUUUUCUUAUUUUCAUUAUUUAUAUAGUUAAGGGAACUUUUACUUUCUAAAUUGGAAAAAAGACAAUUUUUAAAUAUUUUUAAAGAAAAAACUAUUAUAUUUAUGUAAUUCAUCAAUACAUUAUGUAAUACAGUAUGUCCCUGUAAGUUGGAACCAUAUGGAAAACUUUUUUAUUAUUAUUACUUAUUUUUAUUUUACGAAAAAAUUAUUCUUCAUAAAAUACUUGCAUGGUUUAAAACCUAAGAUUCAACCAUAAUAUAUAAAAUUGUAUGAAUAUUAUACGAGGUAUGUCAAAAAGUAUGAAUUUCGCUCAAGAGUAAAGUAGCUUUAAAAAUAUCACAAGGAAAAAUUCCUGUACUGACUGUAUACCAUAAAUCACAAAAAAUAAAAACCUUAUCUUGUGAAAAGUAUAUUUAAAGGGAUUGAUCCCUUUUUAGGGAUUUUAAAUAUACCUUUUACAAGAUAAGGUUUUUAUUUUUUUAUUUUUAUUUUUUUUAAAGUAGCUUUAUUUUUCACAAUAUUGAAAAUUGCUAUUAUGAAAAGUUGUUUAGAAUUAAGAAUUAUAUUCUAAUAUGCAAUUACAUCCUUCUAAUUGAAAAAAAAAAAUUGAAUAAUUAUGGAUAACCAACAUUAUUUUCAGUCAUUUCAAUUCUGAUAACCCUUUUAUUAUUAAUUUCACGAAAAAAAGUGACUCUUAAUAAAAAGUUAUGCAUGGUCUAAAACCUAAAACAACCAUCUUAUAUCAAAUUUUAUCAAUUUUAUACGAGGUAUGUCAAAAAAUAUGAAUUUCGUUCAAGAGUAAAAUACCUUUAUUUUUCACAAUAUCGAAAAUUGUUAUUAUGAAAAGUUAUUUACAAUUAAAAACUAUGUUUCUAUAUGUAAUUACAUCCUUCUAAUUGAAAUAUUCUCAACUAUAAAGGUACUUUACUUUUGAUCUAAAUUCAUCUUUUUUGACAUACCUCGUAUAAAAUUGAUAAACUUUGAUAUAAGAUGGUUGUACAUAUUUUAGGUUUUAAACCAUGCAGAACUUUUUAUUAAGAAUAACUUUUUUUCGUAAAAUUAAUAAUAAAAGAGUUAUCAGAAUUUAAAUAACUGAAAAUAAUGUUGGUUAUCCAUAAUUUUCCAAAAAAAAAAUUUAAUUAUGGUUUGUUUUUUAACCAAGAGGAGUGAUUCAAAUUUACCGCGCUGUAUUGCUUGUUUGUAAUUGGUCCAACCACAGUAAAGUUUACUCCACUGUUAUAAAAUAUUGACCCUAAUGACAUUUUUAUCAAAUUUUGAAACUAGUGACAUUUCAUAGGUUAAUUAAUUUAUAUCGGCGAU
rnacentral:misc_RNA from 1 species